UAAGAACUUAAACCGCAACCCGAU
rnacentral:siRNA from 1 species